UACGAAGGGGGCUAGCGUUGUUCGGAAUCACUGGGCGUAAAGCGCACGUAGGCGGAUUGUUAAGUCGGGGGUGAAAUCCUGAGGCUCAACCUCAGAACUGCCUCCGAUACUGGCAAUCUCGAGUUCGGAAGAGGUUGGUGGAACAGCUAGUGUAGAGGUGAAAUUCGUAGAUAUUAGCUAGAACACCAGUGGCGAAGGCGGCCAACUGGUCCGACACUGACGCUGAGGUGCGAAAGCGUGGGGGGCAAACAGG
rnacentral:rRNA from 1 species